GCCGAGGUAGCUCAGCGGUAGAGCACUGCUUUCGUAAAGCAGGUGUCGUGGGUCCAAAUCCCACCCUCGGCUCCA
rnacentral:tRNA from 1 species